UACCACAGGGAUAACUGGCUU
rnacentral:ncRNA from 3 species